AGUUUGACAAAGAAUGAGAUUAUUUACUUGGAACAACAGAGAAGAUUAGUAUGGCCCCUGUGUAAGGAAGACAUGAAAAUUCAUGAAGCAUUUCAUUUUUUU